ACGAACGCUGGCGGCAUGCCUAAGACAUGCAAGUCGAACGAGAUGGUCUUUUGAAAGAGGAGUGCUUGCACAAUUCUCGAUAUAGAUUCAUCUAGUGGCGCACGGGUGAGUAACACGUGGGAAACCUGCCCCUUUCUUCGGGAUAACUCUGGGAAACUGGUGCUAAUACCGAAUACUCCGGGAUGAUCGCAUGAUCGACCUGGGAAAGCUUUAUGUGGAAAGGGAUGGUCCCGCGGCCCAUUAGCUUGUUGGUGGGGUAAUGGCCUACCAAGGCAACGAUGGGUAGCCG
rnacentral:rRNA from 1 species